AAAAAUGAUAGCUCAUGUGUAACUGUGUGUCAGGUGUCAUUCUGAGCACUUGACACACAUGGCCUUAUUCAGUCCUCACGUUCGUCUUUAUUAUUCACAUUCUCCAGAUGAGGAAACAGAAUUAGAGAAAGUUGAAUAACUGGCCAAGGUUAAAUGCUAUUAACAUUGGCAAAUUGGGUAGAGGAGUUGCUGAAGACGUGGGAGGAAUCGCAGGUGUCUCCAGGUGUUCAAGGCUGGAGGGCAGGGAACACAAUUUGGAUGGUUUUGUGGGUGAUGGGUGGCAUUGCCCUCAUUCUGCACAUGAGAAAACAGAAGCUCAGAAGUUUUGUGGCUCACCUGGCUGUCCUCAACAAAGAGAAGUCUAAUGAAAUUGGACAGUCUGUCCUGGGCUUGGAGGCCUUUACAAUGAUGUCUCAAUUGUACACACGUUCUACAUGAUAAAUAUAAAACACUUGGAGAAAUUGUACUGAUCUUAGUUCAAGAGGAUGUCAUCGAAUACAUCAUGGGCGAAUCCUCUCAGGAGAGCCAAGACUGAGAAAGUCUGCAUGUAUGUUCAGCCAUGGAGGUUGCCCACCUGGGAGCUUCAGG
rnacentral:lncRNA from 1 species